UCCGUAGGUGAACCUGCGGAAGGAUCAUUAUCGUUGGGGCUUCGGCCCCGUCGAGAUAGAACCCUUGCCAUUUAUUUGCGUACCUGUUCGUUUCCUCGGUGGGCUCGCCCGCCAAUGGGGACCUUAACUUAACUCUUGUAUCAUCGUCUGUAUAGUCUGAAUCAAAAUUAAAAUUAAAACUUUCAACAACGGAUCUCUUGGUUCUGGCAUCGAUGAAGAACGCAGCGAAAUGCGAUAAGUAGUGUGAAUUGCAGAAUUCAGUGAAUCAUCGAAUCUUUGAACGCACAUUGCGCCCUUUGGUAUUCCGAAGGGCAUGCCUGUUCGAGCGUCAUUAUCACCCCUCAAGCCCCCGGCUUGGUGUUGGACGGCUUGGUGGAGACCCUUUUGUGGCCCACCCCUCCCAAAGACAAUGACGGCGGCCUCGUUGGACCCCCGGUACACUGAGUUCUUCACGGGACACGUAUCGGACACACGGGUUUACGGGUCACGGUCUGCCUCCCCUCAGGGAGAACUUUUCUAAGGUUGACCUCGGAUCAGGUAGGGAUACCCGCUGAACUUAAGCAUAUCAAUAAGCGGAGGGAAGUCGGACUGGCCAAGGGGCACACCAGGGGGGGGGGAUA
rnacentral:rRNA from 1 species